rnacentral:lncRNA from 1 species
GUGCACACAGGAUUACCUGAGGCUUGUAAGGGAGAAUGCCAACUAAUGGUUACUGAAUCCACCACCUGCAGAAUAACUUUGGAAAAGCAGCUUGUUCCAUCAGAGUCAAGACACGAGAACACCAUCUUUUCAUAAAGACAUGGAAUCUGAUCUGACUGGUCAUCUAAGGGCACCAGAUAUACGACUAAAAAUGUUCAUAUUCAUCACCUAAGGAAGGUCUUUCUUCUGAUUUCUUGCAUUUGAGAGAAGUGGCUGUCACAAUGACUUCUGGAGGUACUUUAGAGGUCCCUCAAGGACUGUUGAAUACAGAAGAGGAGCAGUUUCACCAACACAACUAUCUUCAUUUAUUAUUUUUUCUUCUCUCUUUUUAAAAAAAUUACAAUGAUUCAAGAGAUUUUAUUUUAAAAAUGGCUUCUGCUAACUUAAACAUGGUUUGAGCCGGGUGUGGUGGUUGACACCUGUAAUCCCAGCACUUUGGGAGGCUGAGGUGGGCAGAUCACUUGAGGUCAGGAGUUCGAGACCAGCCUGGCCAACAUGGUGAAACCCCAUCUCUACUAAAAAAUACAAAAGUUAUCUGGGCAUGGUGGCAGGUGCCUAUAAUCCCAACUACUUGGAAGGCUGAGGCAUGAGAAUCGCUUGAACCCGGGAGGUGGAGGUUGCAGAGAGCCGAGAUCACACCACUGCACUCCAGACUGGGCAACACAAUGAGAAUGCCAAAAAAUAGUUUUGAAAAUAAUAUAACUACCAUAGAUUUUGCUUUAUUUUACUAGAUGAUUUUUGUACCUGGUAGGCUAUUGAUGAACUAUGACAUUAAUAACCAAGUAUAUUAAAAAACAAACAAAUGAAAACAAAGUUAAAAUGUAAGCUUGACAUCACUGGCUAUAAAAAUUCUCCUGGAGAAGAUGAUCAGAAUUGAAGCCUUUUAACUUUUCGGUGGACUAUAGGGACAGUAGCAGGAGAUCAGCUACAUAUCCCAGAAGCAAUGUUUCUUCCAGGUCAGUAUCAUGUCAUUCACAAGUGAAAAAAUAAACACUAAAAAUAAAUAGAAGUUCUAUAACAGAGACAGGAAAGGGACUCUCCUUGCUGUCUCCUGUCUACAUGUCCUUUUAGCCUUAACACCUUCCAAAGGAAGGAGAAAAAUAGCUUUGCAGGUUUGCAAAUGUGUGUAGUUAGCAUUUUAAGAACAAAAACGGGCUGCCUCUCACAGCUGUGUUGGAAUUUGCUUCAGAUUCUGCCUUCAAAUCACAGAAGACGUGAGUAAGGGCACGUCCGUGACUCAGUCCUCAACCCUUGCCAAAGUAGUAGUUUUCUAGAUAUAAAACUACAGGGAAAGAAAAAUAGAAAGUCAGAAGAGGAAGAAAAACUGCAUGUUCAUAAAUCUUGCACAAAACUGAAUCUCGAAGGUGUGAUAAAAAGAUCAGGAUCGGGGAGUGUUUAGGAAAGAGAAACACACAUAUGUGAGGCACUACCUAACAUUUCAAUAGACACAUGGUUUUUUUUUUCAGUCAUAUUAAUUAAGUUCUGUGCACGGUGCUUGCACAUAAAUAAAACCAGAUGCUUAAAUUGUAGCUCAAUCAUUACGCUGUAUUUGCUCACAUCCCCUCCUGUACCACUUUCAAGAAAUUGGCUUUUCGCCUAAAUGGCAGGGGAGGGAAAGGGAAAAAAAGAAGAAAAAAAAGUUCUGGAGCUUUAGCCUUAUUCUCAGGUUGAUGAGUGGUUGUUGAUAUGUGACAAAUACAUUUCGCUUUCAUGACAUCUCUAUGGAAAAUUAAGAAUUGUAGUUUUCUUGAGGCAGUUGAGAUUCUUAAAGGAGUAUUUAUUCAUCAUGCUAUUAAUUUAUUGGCCUUCAUAAAAACUCUUUCAAAAUUGUCACCUAUCUAUAAAUAAGACUUAAAACCCACCCUCGGCUACAUAGAUACACACAAACACAAACACACAGAUGUAUGUGUGUGAAUUUAUAAAAUAACCUGUCAAUACAUAUGGAGAAAAUAGUUUCACGGAAUCAAAGUUAUCUGGUUCACCUCCUUUAAGUGCAUUUCCCAAUGUGAGUUCUGAAGCAUAUUUGUUCCACGACAUGUGAAAAACUGAGGGGCUUAAAUAAAUUGGGAAAUGCCGGGUUACACAAAGUUAAACAGCUUUCUUUAUUGUGGAACUUUCAGAGUCUCUAAUAUGCUGAUGCACAUUGUAAAUAUUCAAGAGGUCAACAUACUCUGUAAUAUCUCUCAAAGCUGGUUGACCCAGAAACUUGCAAAAUAUCUUACAAGGGUGGUA